rnacentral:rRNA from 1 species
UACGUAGGGCGCAAGCGUUGUCCGGAAUUAUUGGGCGUAAAGAGCUCGUAGGCGGUCUGUUGCGUCCGCUGUGAAAACUCGGGGCUUAACCCCGAGCCUGCAGUGGAUACGGGCAGACUAGAGGUAGGUAGGGGAGAAUGGAAUUCCCGGUGUAGCGGUGGAAUGCGCAGAUAUCGGGAGGAACACCGGUGGCGAAGGCGGUUCUCUGGGCCUUACCUGACGCUGAGAAGCGAAAGCGUGGGGAGCGAACAGG